rnacentral:rRNA from 1 species
UACGUGAAAGACUAGUGUUAUUCAUCUUUAUUAGGUUUAAAGGGUACCUAGACUGUAAAUUUAGCCUUAAAAAGGAACAAAUUUACUAGAGUUUUAUGUGAGAAAGUAGAAUUAUGGAGUAGAGAUAAAAUUCGCUAAAACCAAAAGACUGAAUAACGGUGAAGACAACUUUCUAAAGUAAAAACUGACGUUAGAGGGACGAAGGCUUGGGUAGCGAUUAGGAUUACGAA